GACCACGACAGGACAGGAACAGCUUUGUGUUGCAUAACAGCACUGCCACAGUUGCUGGGAUGUGACAUUUAGAUGAGCUUUCACUGAGAGAGGGACUUGAGGUGGGGGAUAGCGAGGGAGGAGAAGGGCAAUUUUAGGAUAUAUCCUGCCCUGUCAAGAAGUGCUGAAGUUUGUAAGUUUGAGUAAGUCAGAUUGUUUUUGUGACAAAAAAAAUAGAUUUGAGGGGACAGAAUAUCCACCUACACAACAGGCUGGUGUUCAAACAUGCCAUCAGCAGUGUCUCUCUUAGAUAAAAACAGCAACAACAACAAGCAGCUGACGACCCAAACAACAUCUUCUUCGUCCAUCUUGAAAACCAGUUUGCUCCAAGUGGGAUAUUCAGAAAGACAGGGACCACCAGACUGGAAUUUGAGGGCCCAGCCGCGGCUCCUCGUUCAGCAGAGGUCCGUACUCCAGAUGAUAAACCAGAGCCCGUCCAGGAGGAAGCCAGCCCACGGACUGGUGCUUCUCAUCAGCCUAACAUGAAGGACAAUGAGGCUAGUGAGACACUCGCUCUCUCAUCGAUGAAAAAAAAGACACACAUUCACACACCCACAGCCUCAGAAGACAGUCACAACUUAAUCAUGUGAGCUGCUCCAUCCCUUGUCCUUAGCAUUGUGUUUGGCCCCGGGGACAACGCAUAUCGUCUUUGACAGUAGGCCUACUUACACACAGUCGUUAUCCAUGAAUUUACCAUGACUGUAUUGAUUUUAGGAUACUUUCCCUUUAUUGUAUGCAGUCACCUUUAAUCUGUAUAAAUGUGGUUGAAUGAAAAUCUUUGUAUGGA